rnacentral:rRNA from 1 species
UACAGAGACUGCAAGCGUUAUUCGGAUUCACUGGGCGUAAAGGGUGCGCAGGCGGCCGGGUGUGUCAGAUGUGAAAUCCCGAGGCUCAACCUCGGAACUGCGUCUGAAACUACUCGGCUAGAGUACUGGAGAGGGUAACGGAAUUCACGGUGUAGCAGUGAAAUGCGUAGAUAUCGGGAGGAACACCAGUGGCGAAGGCGACUUCCUGGCCUGUUCUUGACGCUGAGGCGCGAAAGCUAGGGGAGCAAACGGG